AAUCCAAGAUCGGGAGAUUAAUUUUUUUCCCUAGUAGAAUACAGCAGCGUCUGCAGUAGGACAAAUCUUGAUUGCCCACUCACACUUCUGUUGCCUAUGUAGUAGACAGAGGUAUCAGAGGAAAGAUAAAGUCAAUUCCUUGUGACAGAAAUGAAACUUCACCAUGUUUAGUAAUCUCUUCUCUACUAAAAAAACAAGCAGUGUCUGCAGGACCACAGCAAGACAUUUAAGCUUUCUCAACUAAACAUGACAGGUCCACAAGAGGACUGUAGAGGAAAAGGUCUGGUCAGCAACAGCUGGAUUACAGGAAAUGAAUCUGCAGUCUCAAACUAUUUCCCUGAGGAUGUGUGAUGGGACUAGAUAAUAUCUCUUCCUUAUCAUUCUUAGAAGGGAGCUACUACUGAUGAGUCCAAGACCCACCUUCUUUCUGCUGUGGAUGAUCCUGCACUCCUAGGCUAGACCUACUGAUGGAAAUGCUUGUCUCACUGCUUGGUGAGGAAAUUGCAAAAAUUACAUGAUGGCAUCAUUUAAAGGUUCUAUUUCCUGCCUAGUAGAUGCUACAUCAUUCUUGGAAGACUGUGAGAAACAAAUAUAGACGAGCUCUUGAUACAGGAUGGCAAACUUCAUGAAGUACCAAAAUGUUCUGUGGAAAAAUUGCUUGUCCAUCUUGCUUAAAAAUAUGAAACUUGUUACCAAAAUGCACCCUCAAAUUUAAUCAAUGCUCUUUAUUUUGCUCCAGCUAUUUAUCAGUCAUCCAAUUAAUAGUGUACCACCUAUCACAUUUCUAUUAAUAAGCCCUAGAUGCUCAUUGGGACAGUUUUCUUCUCUAUUUUCUUAGUUUUGAUUUAUGGCCCCUGAGAAAAUGAGGACCUAUGAGAAACAGAGCUUGAAUCUGCUCUGGGUCAAAGCUACGGAGAGAAAGAUUAGCACUAAAAAAUAAACAUGGCAGUACCAUUGUGUAGCACCUUCUCGAGAAAAUAUAUACUCAUUUUUAGCUGCCAUACAAGUGCUGUUGGCUUUGUAACUGACUGUGAACAUGUGAGAACAAAAAAAGUGAUGCUGUGUCAGUGUGUGGGCUGCAAAUGAGAACUCCUGGCUCAUACAUUUUGCCCCAUAAGCAGUUCUGGCAUUGUAUGCAGUCUUAUUGCUGUUUCCUUUGUCCUCAUUGAUCCUGCUAUAGUGUUACUCACAUUUUGGGCUCCCAACUUGCUGUAAAAAAACCUCUGUAAUUUAUUUCAUUGUCUUUUUGGUAGAACAUUCUGACCACUAAUUCUUCUAAGCUCAUUAUUCUCAUAUUUUUCUAGUCCUAAGGACUAAAGACCUUUCUUUUUUUCUUCCCUAAAUCUUCCCUCUGUGAUAUUGAAGAAUGAUAAAGUAUCAUCAGCAAACACAAUUUUGUAUCUGGAAAAUGCAUUAAAAUCACCUAUGUAACCUGCAUGAAAAAUAAAUAAAUUUGUCUUACAUAAUGCAUGAAUUAUGUGAAAGCUUUGAAGUAUUUCCUUUUCUUUCAUCUAAAGUGUGCAAUUAAGAACAUAUCCAGGGAAUAUCAAGGAACAACUUCUUACAAUAACUUUUGUACAUUUGGCUUCUAAAUUUUUUAAAUUUUUUCUCACUUUUAUUGCACAUGGGUCUACAGUAGAUGUUGUUAGAUUGACAAAAUGCUUUCAACCAUCUGAAACCUCACAAAGUUCAACAAAGCCACGUGCAAGGUCCUGCACCCAGAUCAGUGUAUUACCAAUACAAGCCAGGGGAUGAAUGGAUGGAGAGCAGCCCUGCAGAGAUGAUCUUGGGGAUACUGGUGAGUGAAAAAUUUGAUAUGACCCAGCAAUGGGCAUUCACAGCCCAGAAAACCAGUCACACCCUGGGCUGCAACAAGAGCAG